rnacentral:rRNA from 1 species
UACGGGGGGGGCAAGCGUUGUUCGGAAUUACUGGGCGUAAAGGGCGUGUAGGCGGCCAACUAAGUCCGACGUGAAAUCCCCGGGCUCAACCCGGGAACUGCGUCCGAUACUGGAAGGCUUGAAUCCGGGAGAGGGAUGCGGAAUUCCAGGUGUAGCGGUGAAAUGCGUAGAUAUCUGGAGGAACACCGGUGGCGAAGGCGGCAUCCUGGACCGGCAUUGACGCUGAGGCGCGAAAGCCAGGGGAGCAAACGGG